AGAGAUCUGAUCUGGUUCCCAUGUGGGGUCCGAAGCCACUCUGCAGCCAUUGCCUUUGUCAUCCUGCCCGGUGGAGACAGCUUUGCCUCCCUUUUGCGUUUGGGAUCAUUUUUCAGAAUAACUGUAGCCAGUGAUUCCUGUUUAUGAGUACUGUUCAUCCGGAUAAUCCUUCGGGGGUCCUUCUAGGGGGUGUGUGGGAGGGGCAAUACAAACACCCAGCAAUUGGAGAAAACAGAAGAAAAGAGAUAAUGUGGUUUGGAGACUGGAGGAUAGCUCUGCGGUCAGCCCUGCCCUCGGGAACUGCUGGGGAGGUGGGAUGGGGUCAGGGAGUGGCCAGAGCCCUGGGCACUCUCUCCCUACGCCCCUUUUCCUGACCUGCCACCCCCCGCCCACCUUCCAGCAUCGAGGAGCAGGACUUGGAGCGAAGGUUCGAACUGCUGAGCCGCGAGCUGCGGGCCAUGCUGGCCAUCGAAGACUGGCAGAAAACGUCCGCUCAGCAGCACCGAGAGCAGCUCCUACUGGAGGAGCUGGUGUCGCUGGUGAACCAGCGCGACGAGCUAGUCCGGGACUUGGACCACAAGGAGCGGAUCGCCCUGGAGGAGGACGAGCGCCUGGAGCGCGGCCUGGAACAGCGGCGCCGCAAGCUGAGCCGGCAGUUGAGCCGGCGGGAACGCUGCGUGCUGAGCUGAGGCCGCCGGCCCGGGUGGCCCAUAACUUCUCGCGCCCCCGGCUUCCGCAGCCGUCCCGGGUCUGCGCUG
rnacentral:sRNA from 1 species